rnacentral:rRNA from 1 species
AACGAACGCUGGCGGCAUGCCUAACACAUGCAAGUCGAACGAGACCUUCGGGUCUAGUGGCGCACGGUUGCGUAACGCGUGGUAACCUGCCCUUAGGUUCGGAAUAACUCCCCGAAAGGGGUGCUAAUACCGGAUAAUGUCUUCGGACCAAAGAUUUAUCGCCUUUGGAUGGGCCCGCGUUGGAUUGGCUAGUUGGUAGGGUAAAAGCCUACCAAGGCGACGAUCCAUAGCUGGUCUGAGAGGAUGAUCAGACACACUGGGACUGAGACACGGCCCAGACUCCUACGGGAGGGAGCAGUGGGGGAUAUUGGAAAAUGGGCGACAGCAUGAUCCAGCACUGCCGCGUGAGUGAUGAAGGACUUAGGGUUGUAAAGCUCUUUUACCCGGGAUGCUAAUGACAGUACCGGGAGAAUAAGCUCCGGCUAACUCCGUG